UACAAAUACAAAGUUUGGUGUUACAAAUUGU
rnacentral:piRNA from 1 species